rnacentral:lncRNA from 1 species
UUUUUUUUUUUUUUUUUUUUUGCUUCUUAGUCAAGAUGGAGGUGAAAAUCAUUUUAGCUCUACUUUCACUAUUGACUUUUUCUACGGAAUAUUUUCUCAUCUUGUGAUCUUUAUGUGUUGCACUACAGCUUUGGCCAUCUGAUAUUAUACAAUUUUUCAUGGAUUUCAAAAUAGUACUUCACCAUUUUGACAUCGGCAAACUAAUUAUUUUAAGAUAGAGUUUAUUGGACUUACUACAUGUUUUCAACAAGCAUAUGUUAUAGUGUACGGCUGUAAUUGCAUAUGUGAGAAAUACUUAUUUUUUUAAUGUUUUAAGCAGAUGAGUACGUACUCAAGAGAGGUAAAUUUUAGAGGAGAGGGAUUGGUUAAGUAGUAUGGGAGAAGGGAGUGUAAGUGAGAAAUAUCAUGUUCGAAAUUUCCCACUGAUUAAAAAAACAAAAGAAAGAAGCAAGAUCUAUGUCCUCUCCUCUCUAUUUUGGAAAUUAAUAAAAUUUUGGGUAGCAAAAAAAAAUAAAAAUACCUUUAGUAUUUUGGUAAAAAGAUUUAAAAAAAACUUUAGUAUUUUGGUAAAAAAAAAAAAAAAAAGUAGAUGAGUAUUACCACGUAUCUUUCCCUAUGAAAGCCAUACGAAUGAUGAAACGAAUUAUUUAUGGGCCUAGCUUAUGUCUUGCACAGCAAAACUUAUUUGAUUUGCUGACAAACAAUUUAAAAUCGGUUUCUUGAUUACAUUUUCACCUCAUAUAAAUAUUUAUUUGAAAGAAAACUACCAACCAAAUUGAGAAUUUAGGGUGAUAAAUUAUAAAACCUAUAAAGUAGGUCUAAACUCUAAUAUCUAUUUCGAACAAAUUUCUUGUCUUCACUAUUUUUAGAGAAAAUAAAUAAAUAUAUGAUGAUUGACCCUAAACAUCAUUGAACUAGUAAAUAGUGAAACAUCAGGGAACCUUGUUGCACAAAGUUGUUACAAUUAUUCCUCUACUCCGCAGACGAAUUAGCGGUCGUUGUGGAAAAGAUUGAAGACAAACCAAUUGAAGCAACUUGGACGACUUGGUCAACUUGGACGCGUUCACAACAAUUCACUGCCCAUUUUCUAGCCUCUAUUUUAUAAAGGGUUGCCACAUAAAUACGAAAUGGACCCCCCAAAGACUUUGACGUUGAAAACUAACCUUUGUGAAGUCUACAUCUUCUCUUUGUGAGCGUCGCAGUCAACAAGUUACACUACUGUUUUUUGAAGUUCCAAAACUAUAAUUGGUUUCGGAUCCUUGAAACUUAUCUAUAUUGCGUUUAGGCACUGACAUUUCCAGAAACUAAUUGUAUACCCCCAUUACAUAUAACAGUUCCAGUUGCACGGCUUUAAUUUUCUGCAAAGGACAAAUAUUCCUUUGGUCCAUAGCUGAAAUCGAAGCAAUAUGCAGAGGGAAAAGACAAAACGAAACCAAACAAAAAAUAUUCAAAAAAAAUGAAGAGAAAUGAAGUGUACAAGGAAAGAAAUUUUGAUAGAAUCAUCACUUUUUUUUUUUUUUUGCCUUUCUAUGUAAGAUACAUGAUGGUGAACAAAUAUCAGUCUGUGCUUGCAUCAUAGUACAAGAAUUAUAGCAUAUACAUGCUCAAAGUCUAUCGAGAUUAUAGGGGGCAAAUCAACCCAUUUAAUUAAAUUUAUCCAUACCCGCCCAUGAAUAGAUGGGUAUGGGUAUCUUAAGUUUUUGCAUUUGGGUAUAAAUAGGUUACCCAAUAAUACCCAUUUAAUAGAUGGGCAUGAGUAUCUUAAGUUUUUGCAUAUGGGUAUAAAUGGGUUACUCAAUAAUACCCAUUUAUUAAAUGGGUAUUAUUGGAUAAUCCAUCAAAUCCAAUUAAUCCAUUUAGAAUUGUUUUCCCCCAAAUCUCCUCUCUUCCCCCGCCCAUUUUUUUUUUCAGAUUUUUCAUUUUGUUAUGAUGUUAACUACUUUUAUUUCAUUAUUAUUAUUAUUUGUUGGUUUUAUUUUAUCAUUAUUUUUCUCUUAAUUUGUUAACUUACUCAUUUUUUAGCAUUACCAAUUUAUGAUAAGUUUUAGCCUCUUUUUCUACAUUUCCAAAAUGAAAUUUUAAAUUUACAUAUGAAAAAAAAUAUUAGGGGUUCAAAAUUUUUGGAUUAAGUUUUUAUGUUAAUUUUUAUAGUACUUAAUUUAAAUUUUUAUAUUCUUAUUAUUCAAUUAUUAAAUAGUAUGUAAUUUUGCGACAUAGAGUACGGAUAGGAAAAAAAUUGAUAAUUAGGCUUAUUGAACAUUAUAAGUAAAUAUUUAAAACUAAUAAUGGGUGCAAAGAAUGGUAUAAAUUGAUAACUUCGUUUGCAAAAAUGAAUUUAAAUGAGUUUACAAAAAGUUAAAAUAAAUGGGUAAUUGGGUUACCCAAUUCAUUUUUUGACUUACCCAUUUAUACGCAUCUAAUUAAAUGGGUAGACUCACUUAUACCCAUUACCCAUUUUACCGAACCCAAAUCCGCCUAAGUCACCCAUUUUGACACCUCUAAUCGAGAUGUUGUGAUUCCCUAAUUAGAAUCUCUCAUAUUUAAGAACUAAUGAAGAAGUUACAAUUAUAAUGAAUCUCUCAUAUUUUUAAAGUAAAUUAUAAUGAACCUAAGAUAGUAAUGAUACAAAUAAAUUACAAUUCAAAAGUACUACAAAUUAGUCCAAAAUUGGUGGGAUAAAUACUAAAAUAGAAUUAGAAGAAACUCACAUAUAGUGAGCCUUGAAUUUUAAAUCUCUACUUUUUAAAGUCCCAAUUUUGACUAUUGAACCAAAACCUCAUCAGCAAGGAUUUUCUAGUUCUUUUCAAGGCUUGAUUGAUGAAUUAGAAGAACACUUGUCACUCCACUAAUAUUACGUUAAUCAUAGCUUUUGACACCAUUCUUUAUUGUGACGUGAUAUAUGUGAAAUAAAAUAUAAUUGAAAAUAAGAAUUGAUGGUUCAAAAAUAUAUUUACGAUGCAAAUAAAAUAAUAUUUCAGAAAAUUGUGUAUCCAAACAUUUAGGUUGCAAACGUGAGGCCUCGCAAUCCUAUUAAGCAAACUUACCAAAAAACCCCUUGUGGUUAAGUCAACUUACGGAAAAACCCCCUAUGGUUACAUGUUACUUUUAUUUAUUUAUUUUGUGUUUAGGAAUAAGGUAAGUUGUAUUUGGAAGAUUUUAUUUAUUUAUUUUAUGUAUAGAAAUAAGGUGAGUUUUAUUUGAAAUUAUUUAUUUAUUUAUUUUAUGUAUAGAAAUUAGGAGAGUUGUAUUUGGGAGUUUUGGAUUUUCUUGAAAAUUUUAUAAGUUCUAAGGGGUUUAGUAAGUAUAUCAGCUAAAAUUUUGAUUUAAAAAUUAUUUUCCAUGUCAAGCAACCUCAAACUCAUUAAUUUAAAUGAUUUUUGUCAAUUUUUCACAUUAGUUCAAUUUACGAGGUAUUGGAUUGUAUGAUUUAAAAUCAUUAGGGAUUUUUCUGUAGGUUUGAUUAACCACAAGAAAUUUUUCUAUAUUAUAACUCUAAGUGUAUAAUAGAUAUAUCAACUAAAAAUUUGUUUGUUUCCAAUACAAAUACUCUAGAAAGAAGCGCGUGUAUUCAAACCCGUUAUCAAAUAACAAGGUAUCGGAGUGUAUGUUUUAAAACUAUAUGAGACUUUUUUAUAUGUUCGCUUAAUCUCAAGGGAUUUUUCUAUAUUUUACCCAAAAGUUUAUGUCCACGAAAAUUUUGACAAAAUUACGUGGCCUCAAAGCCAUGCUUUUGUAAGUGAUUGGGGAUUCUAGUUAAUUUCCCAUGAACCAAAAGCGUUCUUAGUACUUCAAAUAUCAGAGAAGCAAUCAAUAAUAUGAACAGAUCGUAGUGGUCCAAAUCUAAUUAGCACAAGUAAAGAUCAAUUUCCACAAAACACACCAUUGGUAGCCUAGUCUUCUUUCCCACCCCUUGUUUUCUUUCCGUCAACUCCUUUUUUCCUUCCUGGUCCUUUUCAAGCUUCAACCCCUUAACAGUAAGUCCGGUCAAUGCCGUUGCGAGUGUGCUCACAUUUUCCACAGUCUGUGGUCUUCUGUCUCAAUAUGUUCAAAACCCCCCCGGAAUACAAAAAUCAUCGAUUCCUUUAUCCCUGAGUUUUUGCUGCCUUCUUUUCACAGAUUCCCAAAGGCAUCUGAAAAAAAUAAAACAAAAACAACUUCUUGACAAAAAUACUUAGAAAACGUGCAUAGUUUAUCCCUUUAAAAAACAAUCAGGCAGCUGCUAGUUUGAGACACAGCAACAAAGAAGGCAAAAAAAAUCAUGAGCAGGUAUGAAAACGUCAGUUUUACACUUUCUUUCUUCUUCUUCUUUCAGCUGGUGUUCUCUCAGCUACCUUCAAAGCAAAUUGCCACCAUGACUAAUCUUUAUGAGAUGCUUCAGAAUAAUAGUGGGAAUUCAUCAUUUCGAUGGAGUAAUGCGAAAAAAGACUCUAAUCCAUGUUCAUGGGUGGGAGUUUCAUGCAGUUCAAGCAACUCCUCUGUAACUGAACUUUCUUUACCAUUGUUUUCAAUAUCUAGCUCAGAAAUUCUGCCUGUUAUUUGCCAGAUUGAUAGCUUAGAAUCUCUUGACAUCUCUAAUAAUCAUUUGAGCUCAAUCCCAGAUGUGUUUGUCUCUUCCUGUGGUGGGAUCAGUGGUUUGAAACUGCUGAAUAUUAGUAGGAACGAAUUGGGUGGCUCUUUGCCUACUUUUAAUGGUUUUCAAAAGUUAGAGGUCUUGGACUUGUCUCGUAAUUCUCUGAUGGGGAACAUCAAUUUGCAAUUCGAUGGGUUGGAUUCUCUGAAGAGUUUGAACCUGAGCUACAACAAAUUCACUGGACCUCUACCAAUCAAUCUUGGGAAAAACAAUCUUUUACAAGAACUUCAGCUAUCUACUAAUGGUUUUCAAGGUGAAAUCCCGGUAGGGCUAGUGAAAUAUGGUAAUUUAUCUCUGAUUGAUCUUAGUCACAAUGAACUUUCAGGAUUAAUCCCUGAGAGAUUUGGAGAGCUUUCCAAGCUCCAAAUAUUGGUUCUCUCAGGAAGCAAUUUGAGAGGUGAAAUUCCUAAGCUCCUUGUAAAGAUUCAAACACUAUUCCGAUUUGCUGCGAACCAGAAUAAUUUUGUUGGAAAUAUUCCUCCUGGGAUUACUACGUAUCUCAGGAAUUUGGACCUCAGUUUCAACAACCUAAGUGGAACCAUUCCCCAAGACCUUUUAUCCCCACCCAAUUUGCUGUCAGUAGAUUUGUCUUCCAAUUUGUUAGAGGGGCCAAUACCAACAGAGAUCUCUUUAAGCCUCUUCAGGUUGAGGUUGGGAGGCAAUUUAUUAAAUGGGACAGUCUCAUUUCGAUCAUAUGGAAACCUUACCAAAUUGACCUAUUUGGAGCUGGACAACAACAGUCUAACAGGCGAAAUACCUCCUGAAUUGGGCUUAUGCCGAAGUUUAGCUCUCUUGAAUUUAGCCCAGAAUAGGCUGACUGGGGUCUUGCCUGUACAAUUGGGUAAUCUUGCCAAUCUUCAAGUUUUAUACCUUCAGAAGAAUAAGUUGGUUGGAGUUAUCCCUCAUCAGUUUACACAGUUACACAGUUUGCAGAGAAUGAAUUUCAGUUCAAAUUCAAUUGGUGGCUCAAUUCCUGCUUCAAUUUCCAAAUUGCAAAAUCUAACAAACUUGGACUUGCGACAUAAUAAUCUGAGUGGUCCAAUUCCCAUUUCCAUUCGCACUCUGAAUCUCCUAUUGGAACUUCAACUUGGAAAUAACCAACUCAGUGGAGAUGUUCCAGCAAUGCCAUCAUCAUUGCAGAUUGCUCUGAAUCUCAGCAACAAUUUAUUUGGCGGGCCUAUUCCCGUGUCGCUAUCUGGAUUGAUCGCAUUGGAGGUUUUGGAUCUUUCGAAUAACAAAUUUUCAGGUGUAAUCCCGAACUUCCUCACUGAAAUGGCAGGCUUAACGCAACUUGUACUUUCAAACAACCAACUUUCUGGAGAUAUUCCGAAGUUUAAACAAUAUGUUACGGUUGUGACAGGUGGAAAUAAGGGUCUAAACCAAGCACCAUCAAAUGCUCCUCCUGCAUCAUCAAAGAAAAAGAGAACUGUUUCAGUUGGUGUGGUUAUAGGAGCAGCAGUUGCUGCUGCCUUGGCUGCUGGUCUGCUCACAUUAAUUGUUAUUUCUAUAUCAAGACGGUAUUACAGGGUCAAUGACAUGCACCUGCAAUCAGAAGAGGCCGCUUCUGAACAGCAAGUAAUCCUCGGAAAUCUGUUGACUGCAAAUGGCAUUCAUAGGUCAAACAUAGACUUUAUGAAAGCCAUGGAGGCGGUGGCAAACAACUCAAAUAUCAUCUUGAAGACAAAGUUCUCGACCUACUACAAAACUGUCAUGCCAUCUGGUGCAAACUAUCUGGUCAAGAAGCUUACUUGGAGUGACAAGAUAUUUCAAUUGGGCAACCAUGAAAGGUUCGGAGAAGAGCUUGAAGUGAUUGGGAAAUUGAGUAAUUCAAAUGUCAUGAUCCCUCUGGCCUAUGUGUUGACUGUGGAUAGUGCUUAUCUCUUCUAUGACUUUGCCCCGAAGGGUACCCUUUUUGAUCUUCUUCAUGGUAACUCGGAAAGUGCCUUGCAUUGGGCAAGUCGUUACAGCAUAGCCAUUGGAGUAGCUCAAGGUUUAACCUUUCUGCACGGAUGCCCUUCCGGUUCAAUUCUGCUCCUUGACCUUUCCAGCAAAAGUAUUCUGCUGAAGUCUCUGAAUGAGCCUCAGAUUGGAGAUAUUGAGCUCUGCAAAGUUAUUGAUCCUUCAAAGAGUACUGGAAGUCUUUCUACAGUGGCUGGAUCUGUUGGAUAUAUUCCACCAGGUAAUACAAAUGCCUAGACUUUAUAUCUCUAUGAAAUCAUUUUUGCACAGAGUCCGCAGAUUGUAUGAGAUCGAGUUUUGCAGUUUUUCUUUUGGUAUUCUGAUGUUAAAAGCAUGCAUUCUGAUUCAAUUGUACGAGUCUCAUGAAGUUUUUCUGAUAUGAUGCAUCUUUAACUCCAUCUUCCUGCUCAUUGAAUCAAAUUUAUCUAUGCCCCAUAAACUGUAAGCAAAUUCAUCAAAGUUGUGCUCUGGAUUGCAGAAUAUGCAUACACUAUGAGAGUUACGAUGCCUGGAAAUGUCUACAGCUUUGGAGUACUCCUGCUUGAACUACUCACAGGAAAGCCAGCAGUCAGUCAGGGGACUGAACUGGCCAAGUGGGUUCUGAGCAACUCUGCGCAGCAAAACAAAUGGGACAACAUUCUUGACUUUAGUGUGAUCAAAACAUCUCUUGCAGUUAGGAGUCAAAUGCUUGCAGUCCUGAAGGUAGCACUCGCUUGUGUCAGUGCAUCACCAGAGGGUAGACCGAAAAUGAAGAGUGUGCUGAGAAUGGUCCUAAAUGCCAGAUAACUCUCUGCAUUUUUGCCACACAUUGCCAUACAUCAGUGAGCUGCAUACAACCUUUUGGUUUUUAUUUAGCCUCUUUUUUCUAUAUGAAUAUGUCUCUAAUACGUAUAUAAAAGAAAGCUUUAGGAUGAGCAUAUACCAAAUCCUACAAACUUUACCCUAAUUUUCGGCUUCUGUUCUUCUCCCCCUCCACUAUCAAACUGGUUUGCAAAAGCAUGCUUGUGAAAAUUGUUCGUCUCUGCACUCUACAAAAGAGUACUUGUUAUGAAAAAAGAUAAUUGACAACAAAAUCUAGCUAUAACAAAGUUUUAGAAGACGUUUUCAUUCAAAACAUCCUUGUCUGCUGUACACUAGAAAUGUGACCUCCAGCAUUAAUAGAUCAAUUUACGUACUGAAAGUCCAUUUCGCAGACAAUAGAAAAAAUUUCAUUGAAUUGAAUGCCAAUGGCAAGCAUGGAAAAAGACAUUUAGAGCAUAUGAUAACCAAAGAGGGAAAAAAAAAAAAAAAAAAAAACUACGACAGUCAGAGAGUCAAUGGUAACAUCACAGAAGAUAAUACAGUGCUUAAGUUUAGUGCUACCUGUUCAAAAAAGAAAAAACAGAAAUUGCCGUAAAUUUUUUAUAUCCCCCAAAAUGGUUGGCGUAGGAACUCAAAAUUCGUAUAUCAAAGUUCACAGCAUGCAGUGGGCGUGCUUGCGUUCAAUCAAAAUUUGCUUUUUUAAAGCAAAAUUUUAAAUGUCUACUUUGAACAACAUCAGAGUCCCGCAACAUCUUCAUAAAUUGCUCAGCAAACCAAUGAAAGCAUCCCCAUUUAAAGAAUUACAAGACAAUGACGAGGACCAUAAGAGGCUACAACUAAUCACAACAAAGGAAAAAGUGAAAGUUCGAAUUCACAUGAAUUAUCUGAUGCGGUUGAUGCUAAGAAAAUCACUCAAGAAUUGUGUUGAUGUUCUUCAACAAUACACUUGAGUUAUCAUUCCGGAAUUAGAUUCUGAAUUGUCUUCGAG